GUAACGGCGAGUGAAGCGGCAACAGCUCAAAUUUGAAAUCUGGCCUCUUCGGGGUCCGAGUUGUAAUUUGUAGAGGGUGUUUCGGGCGCGAUGCCGGUCUAAGUUCCUUGGAACAGGACGUCGUAGAGGGUGAGAAUCCCGUAUGCGACCGGCGAUCAAGCCUGUGUGAAGCCCCUUCGACGAGUCGAGUUGUUUGGGAAUGCAGCUCAAAAUGGGUGGUAAAUUUCAUCUAAAGCUAAAUAUUGGCCAGAGACCGAUAGCGGACAAGUAGAGUGAUCGAAAGAUGAAAAGCACUUUGGAAAGAGAGUCAAACAGUACGUGAAAUUGUUGAAAGGGAAGCGCUUGCAAUCAGACCGGUCCGGAGGCGAUCAGCCGCUGCUCGUCAGCGGUGCACUCGCCUGCGAUCCGGCCAGCAUCGGUUUGGGCGGUGGGAUAAAAGUCCCGGGAAUGUAGCUUCUUUCGGGGAGUCUUAUAGCCCGGGUCGCAAUGCCGCCCGCUCGGACCGAGGACCGCGCUUC
rnacentral:rRNA from 1 species